rnacentral:misc_RNA from 1 species
AAAAAAAAAAAAAAAAGAUUUAAUUUAAAAUCCAGAAAGUGCUACAUAACUCCAACAUUACCAGAAUGUCCUCUUGGAGACCCCUAUGCAUACUGCAAUAAUAUCAAACUAAAGCACUGGUUUCAUUCAUAUAAUAGUAAAUUCACUUUGCUUAUUAACACAAUGCCUUUCCAAGAAAUAGAUUUUCUAACAGUAACACCCGAGCUUAUAAAGCAGACAAUACGUGUGAAGAUCCAUUGUUGUCACCAUGAAUUGGUUGGCCCUCCAACAAAUUGUUCAACUCCUUCGCAAAUCUUUCCAUUGCUUGGGUUGGCAAGCAAAUUGGAAACACAAUUCCAUUUUCACCUUUCUUAUUUUCAAACGGUACAUAAAAGCUUGCGACCAUGGGGAUGGCUCUCAACGGCCCACCAUACACAGCUUUGCCCCAUCCAAAAUCUACCUCUCUAAAGCCUGCAUGCCUCAAGUCCGACACUAAGUAACUUCCUUCCACGUGAAAUAUAGGCCUACCCUUAAUCACCAUUAGAUCGGCUGUGGAUUGUAUAUACUCUCUACUCACAUUCGUGGUAGCCUUCCUCACCAAUUCUAUUGCAUAACCUAUCGGAUUUUGAGUGAGUUCUCCGGCAGUUGCCACCACAGUCGAGAGCGCAAAUCCAUUACCGUAAUACCCUUCUGGUAAUAAAGGAGGAUUGAAUUUUUUGCGCACAUUAUUGAGACAUAUCAUGCGCAUCUCUUGUUUGGGGUCUGGUUGGAGUGCCACUGUUCGACAUUUCCAUAAACAUGCAGUUAAUAUUUGAAAAGUAGAGCAUCCAUGGAGGUGGGGAGGGGCAAAUCUUCGAAGAGCAGACAAUUGAGUUGAUCGAAUAAAAAAUGACUUGUCUAAUAUGUCAUGAAGCGGAAAUGGAAUUCUUGCACUGCUAAUACUAUUUAUGCCUUCAAUCUCAUCGUAUUCACGAUGUAUGCAUGUGACACGAGGUGGGUUCCUCGCAUCAAGUACAUGUCUUUCCCACACUGGAAGGAUGGAAGGGGCUUGUUCCCCCCUAGCCAUCUCAGCCACAGCUGACAAGAAUUGGACUAGACCAGGUCCAUCACUCAUGGUGUGGUUCAAACGAAGGGCAUAAACAAAACCACCACAUUUAAAACGUGUAACCUGAAUUAGCAAGAGAGGACAGUUUAGUGUCUCACUUGACCCAGGGACAUCAAAAAGAAGUUCCUCCAAGUAAGGGAACGGGGGUUGAAGUGCGUCGCCGGACUGAUCAAAAGUAACAUCGGUAUCAGCUUCUAUAAACAAGAUACCUUCACCAGUGCAUUCCACCAAAAGCUUGCGAUUACGCCCUUCCCGAAGCCUACCUGCAAAUGGAUAGUAAAAGACAAGUGCUUUAGCAAGAGCCUCCCUGAUGAUUUUAACAGGGUCUUUCCCUUGCAUAGAGGGCUCAUAACGAUAAACUUGUAAGGUGGGAAUAUGGAAGCGGAGACUCUCUUGGUCAUCAAUGUCAGAUAAUGGCUUAAACUCAUGAGGGGUGGGCUUAGCCGGGGGGAGUAGCUCAGGUUCACGCCUGUUGACCUUGAACACAGGGGACGCUAGUGGAGGUGACAUGUCUAGAGAACACUGAACAGUAAGCCAAUAAUGAUAAGGAAAUAUCUAAAAGCUUGGUGUCA